rnacentral:rRNA from 1 species
UACGGGGGGGGCCAGCGUUGUUCGGAAUUACUGGGCGUAAAGGGCGCGUAGGCGGGUGGACAAGUCUCUCGUGAAAGCCCACGGCUCAACCGUGGAAUUGCGGGAGAUACUGUCUGUCUUGAGUCCGGGAGAGGAGGGUGGAAUUCCCAGUGUAGCGGUGAAAUGCGUAGAUAUUGGGAGGAACACCGGUGGCGAAGGCGGCUCUCUGGACCGGUACUGCAGCUGAGGCGCGAAAGCUAGGGGAGCAAACGGG